rnacentral:rRNA from 1 species
GCUUGUCUCAAAGAUUAAGCCAUGCACGUCUAAGUAUAAGCAUUAUACAGCGAAACAGCGAAUGGCUCAUUACAUUAGUUUUAACAUACACGAUGAUCGAUUCUACUUGGAUAACCGUAGUAAUUCUAGAGCUAAUACAUGCGUAAAGCGCUUCGUAAGAAGUGUGUGUUUAUUAGAUACAAACCAACAUCGUGGUGAUUCAUAAUAACUUUGCGAAUCGUAUGCCUCACGGCGACGAUGAAUCAUUCAAAUUUCUGCCCUAUCAACUUGGCUACCACAUCCAAGGAAGGCAGCAGG